GAUGAACGCUGGCGGCGUGCCUAAUACAUGCAAGUCGAGCGAACAGACGAGGAGCUUGCUCCUCUGACGUUAGCGGCGGACGGGUGAGUAACACGUGGAUAACCUACCUAUAAGACUGGGAUAACUUCGGGAAACCGGAGCUAAUACCGGAUAAUAUAUUGAACCGCAUGGUUCAAUAGUGAAAGACGGUUUUGCUGUCACUUAUAGAUGGAUCCGCGCUGCAUUAGCUAGUUGGUAAGGUAACGGCUUACCAAGGCAACGAUGCGUAGCCGACCUGAGAGGGUGAUCGGCCACACUGGAACUGAGACACGGUCCAGACUCCUACGGGAGGCAGCAGUAGGGAAUCUUCCGCAAUGGGCGAAAGCCUGACGGAGCAACGCCGCGUGAGUGAUGAAGGUCUUCGGAUCGUAAAACUCUGUUAUUAGGGAAGAACAAAUGUGUAAGUAACUAUGCACGUCUUGACGGUACCUAAUCAGAAAGCCACGGCUAACUACGU
rnacentral:rRNA from 1 species